GGCCGGAAAGUUGGUCAAACUUGGUCAUUUAGAGGAAGUAAAAGUCGUAACAAGGUUUCCGUAGGUGAGUGGUCGCAUCCCCCCCGACCUUGUUCUGAACACUGCUAACAUACGUCUCUAGGUGAACCUGCGGAAGGAUCAUU
rnacentral:rRNA from 1 species